rnacentral:rRNA from 1 species
UACGUAGGGUGCAAGCGUUGUCCGGAAUUAUUGGGCGUAAAGAGCUCGUAGGCGGUCUGUCACGUCGGACGUGAAAAUCCAGGGCUCAACCCUGGACCUGCGUUCGGUACGGGCAGACUAGAGUGUGGUAGGGGAGACUGGAAUUCCUGGUGUAGCGGUGAAAUGCGCAGAUAUCAGGAGGAACACCGAUGGCGAAGGCAGGUCUCUGGGCCACUACUGACGCUGAGAAGCGAAAGCAUGGGGAGCGAACAGG